CAAAUUGCAAUUUUUUGGCGGGAGAAGAAAAACAGACGGAGGAUACGGGGGUGAAGUAAAAUGACUGACAAUUAGUGACAGAGUAGAAAGAAACGUUGUAAGGUCGAGGAAUAGACUUUGAGGUGUCUGACUGUUGAAAAAUAGGUCCACGCGCUAUACCCAGGCAGGUCGGGCCAGUAUGCAGUUUUCUCCUCUUUGUCAGUUAGAGUACAAAGCACAUUUUGUUUGUACAGAGAGAAUAUAAGCGUACAGAUUACUUGUGAUGAAUCACCUUGUGGUGUGUGAUAUGUAUAUAUAUAUAAUGUUGUGGGUUGAUAAUACCUAUUAUGACG